UACGUAGGGCGCAAGCGUUGUCCGGAAUUAUUGGGCGUAAAGAGCUCGUAGGCGGCCAGUUGCGUCUGCUGUGAAAUCCCGGGGCUCAACCCCGGGCGUGCAGUGGAUACGGGCUGGCUAGAGGCAGGCAGGGGAGAAUGGAAUUCCCGGUGUAGCGGUGAAAUGCGCAGAUAUCGGGAGGAACACCGGUGGCGAAGGCGGUUCUCUGGGCCUUACCUGACGCUGAGGAGCGAAAGCGUGGGGAGCGAACAGG
rnacentral:rRNA from 1 species